rnacentral:rRNA from 1 species
AAGCGAGCGGCGGAUGGGUGAGUAACACGUGGGGAACCUGCCCCUAAGUCUGGGAUACCAUUUGGAAACAGGUGCUAAUACCGGAUAAUAAAGCAGAUCGCAUGAUCAGCUUUUGAAAGGCGGCGUAAGCUGUCGCUAAGGGAUGGCCCCGCGGUGCAUUAGCUAGUUGGUAAGGUAACGGCUUACCAAGGCGACGAUGCAUAGCCGAGUUGAGAGACUGAUCGGCCACAUUGGGACUGAGACACGGCCCAAACUCCUACGGGAGGCAGCAGUAGGGAAUCUUCCACAAUGGACGCAAGUCUGAUGGAGCAACGCCGCGUGAGUGAAGAAGGUUUUCGGAUCGUAAAGCUCUGUUGUUGGUGAAGAAGGAUAGAGGUAGUAACUGGCCUUUAUUUGACGGUAAUCAACCAGAAAGUCACGGCUAACUACGUGCCAGCAGCCGCGGUAAUACGUAGGUGGCAAGCGUUGUCCGGAUUUAUUGGGCGUAAAGCGAGCGCAGGCGGAAAAAUAAGUCUAAUGUGAAAGCCCUCGGCUUAACCGAGGAACUGCAUCGGAAACUGUUUUUCUUGAGUGCAGAAGAGGAGAGUGGAACUCCAUGUGUAGCGGUGGAAUGCGUAGAUAUAUGGAAGAACACCAGUGGCGAAGGCGGCUCUCUGGUCUGCAACUGACGCAGAGGCUCGAAAGCAUGGGUAGCGAACAGGAUUAGAUACCCUGGUAGUCCAUGCCGUAAACGAUGAGUGCUAAGUGUUGGGAGGUUUCCGCCUCUCAGUGCUGCA